CGCGAACAUUGUUCCCUCCAUCGAGAAAGGCGAACACAAUAAAAUUUUGAAUAUAGUGAAAAUAAGAGAAAUGAUCGAGGAAAUAAAAUCUGCCAUAAGAUAAUCAACAUGUUAUACAACCAUAUGGAUACUACUACCACUUGGUGUAUAAAUACUAAAAUGAACAAAGGAUAUAUUAGUGAUAAAACAUGUUAUUUUCAAAGGAAAAAAAGGUUCCACUUCUCCAGACAAACAUCUUUUUCCACACUUUCAUUAACUGAAUCUUCUAAAUCCGCUAUCUUUUCAACUGACCUGGAACAAAAGAAGAUGUAGCAUCAGAUUCUCAGCUACUAGCAUAUCAAGUAAACAGCAUAAUAUAAUAUCGGAACAGAUGUAAAACUAAUCUGGGUUAUGUAUCGAUGUAAAAUGGGAAGACAACCAAAAAUAAAUAAAUAAAUAAAUAAAAAUUUCAAGUUUUUAUUUUAAUAAUUUUUACUUAUUGCUUGUGCUUCACUUGUUUAUGCAUGAAGGUUAAUUUUGCUGUAUACAGGCUUGGCUCCGACAAGUUACUGGCACCAGCUCAUCAAAAAUUCACAUUGACGCUGGCCUAAAAGAAGAAUCUAUCUAUGUUUAGGUUUCUGAAUACAUUCUUCUAAGCCGACAAAUAUAAUAAUGGAAUUCUAGGAUGUCACAUUGCAUUUGAUGCUAUGAUGUUAUGGCAAGCUGGGCGAGCAUCAGCUUUAGAAUCCAGACAAAAGAAAAAACAGUGUGUAGCUUAAAUCCACUUCAUGGUAAAAGUAUAGUUUCUUGUGAGGAAUAAAUACAUUACUUCCUUCAUGAAAGACUCCUGCAUCCAUUAGAAAUUCUAACUAUUAAGCAAAUCCAAAGAGACGUGGAAAAUAUCGUGAACUACAAAUAAAAAGUACCUGACAAGCAAAACAAGUCCUCUGACAACUAAUCAUACCGGGGUACAUCAGCCAGAAAACAGCUUCACAACAAUGCAGAGCAAAUUGAGAAGUAUAAGAGGAACUCUUAAAUACUGGGUUGCAUAUAUAAGACCAAUAAUUUGCCCCUUUAAAGAUUUUCUCCUAACACCAGAAUAUUCCUGGAAGCUCCAUCCCCUAGGGGCAAGAAGACGGUCUUCAUUUAAUAUAGCUAGUGCAUUUGCAAGAAGCAGGCAGCCCUCCAGCAGCGUCCACAAACCCAUUUCCUGCAUCAUAUACUGAUUUAGUAUAUCUUUCCUCUCCAAAAUCCGUUCUUAGUUACAACAAACUAAGUAUUUUUUUACAAUAAAUUUAAGGUCACCAGGUCUGCUAACUAAUCCUUUUCUGCCAUUCCAUUCGAUUCAUUGAUAGAUCUUGCAAAAGAUUCAAAGCAUCUAAUCCUUGGCAACUACCAUAGACCACGUAAUUUUGUUCUCUCCCUCCUCCUGACAUACUCUACCUAAAUCACGUCACUCGUAUGAAUCUCUAUGCAAAACAGGUCACAACAAACUAAAUUGUUCUUCUACUAUCCUCAGUCACCACACCCAUGUGUUGGCAUAUAUUUUGAUUUCUUAUCUUUACCAUUUGAGUAUAAUCACACGUCCAUCUUAGCAUCCUCUUUUUCCUUACAUUUAUCCUAUGGACAUUCAUUCAAGAACUCAACAACUAGUAUGAAAGACUUCUAAUUUAAUGUCGAUAAAUUUGUUUAACAAAGAGGAGCACAUGAGGACGACCAAGAACCAUAUUUCACAAGGUAACAAAAAUAAUAGGGGAGGAUAUAGAGAAUGAUUCUCAAGUUAUCCGUACAAAGAAUUUCAUAACUUACUUUCUGAUACUUAUGGAUGAUAUGUUCAUGCUCAAUUUGAAGGUAUGCUAAAGAUUUUGGCCACAAUGGCCCACACAGAAGUGUAAGAAUGUAAAUCUUCGGCACAAAAAGUUCAUUUAUGUACACUGUUUACAGCAACAGAAACAUUUCAUUAUUUGAAGAUUCCUUCCAGAGGCAAAGCAAAGGCCAAGUUAAUGCAAGAAUAGUACAUUCUCCAAUUGGAAAAAAAAGGUGAUAAUUCAUCACCAAUUCACCAUCAACCAAUUCGAAACAAAUUGAUAUUUCAGUCUCUUCUUCUUCAUUUUUUUUCCCCUUUCUUCUGCAAAGGCCAAGUUAAUGCAAGAAUAGUACAUUCUCCAAUUGGAGAAAAAGUGAUAUUUCAUGACCAAUUCACCAUCAACCAAUUGGAAACAAAUUGACAUUUCAGUCUCUUUUUUUUCCUGCACAAAUUACACACAAUAAAAACAAAUUCACCCGCGUGUACUUAAAUAAAAAUAUAUGAGAAGCGCGUAAUUCUGCACAAUAAUUCCACCCCCGAGAGAUUAAAAGAAAUCCGCCUAAUUAAACCUAUAAAAUGAGCAAACCCCAUCACGAUAACAUAACUAUUUGUUAAAGAUUCAACAUGUAAAACAACAGAGUACACACCAAGCGAGGUUUUAAACAUUGCGAUCUGAGGUAUUCCAAAAAUACCAAAAAAGAAGGGGUAAUGAAUUAACAGAACAAACUAAACUGUGAAUCAUCUCAUAAAAUCUUUGAACGAGAUAAAAACUUACAGAAAAUAUUAUCGAUAUACUAAUCACUCACCUUGAAAUUUUGGGGAAAGUAGAAAAUUGUAUCGACAAGAAAAGAUCCGAGAUGGUUUUCCCC
rnacentral:lncRNA from 1 species